rfam:Gossypium raimondii Chr04_contig_1255, whole genome shotgun sequence.
UGUUAAAUAUCAUCAAUUUGUAUUAUUAAAAAUUGGUCUGGUUGACAAAAUAACUAGACUGUGACACGUGACAUGUCAUGGGUACCUCAUGCUAAUGUACAAAGAUCAGUUUUUUACAGCAAAAAUUGAUGGAAUUUUUAAUU